CGAAGGGGGCUAGCGUUGCUCGGAAUUACUGGGCGUAAAGGGAGCGUAGGCGGACAGUUUAGUCAGAGGUGAAAGCCCAGGGCUCAACCCUGGAAUUGCCUUUGAUACUGAUUGUCUUGAGUAUGGGAGAGGUGUGUGGAACUCCGAGUGUAGAGGUGAAAUUCGUAGAAAUUCGGAAGAACACCAGUGGCGAAGGCGACACACUGGCCCAUUACUGACGCUGAGGCUCGAAAGCGUGGGGAGCAAACAGGAUUAGAUACCCUGGUAGUCCACGCCGUAAACGAUGAGUGCUAGUUGUCGGCAUGCAUGCAUGUCGGUGACGCAGCUAACGCAUUAAGCACUCCGCCUGGGGAGUACGGUCGCAAGAUUA
rnacentral:rRNA from 1 species